rnacentral:rRNA from 1 species
UGGGGAAUAUUGGACAAUGGGCGCAAGCCUGAUCCAGCCAUACCGCGUGGGUGAAGAAGGCCUUCGGGUUGUAAAGCCCUUUUGUUGGGAAAGAAAUCCAGCUGGCUAAUACCCGGUUGGGAUGACGGUACCCAAAGAAUAAGCACCGGCUAACUUCGUGCCAGCAGCCGCGGUAAUACGAAGGGUGCAAGCGUUACUCGGAAUUACUGGGCGUAAAGCGUGCGUAGGUGGUCGUUUAAGUCCGUUGUGAAAGCCCUGGGCUCAACCUGGGAACUGCAGUGGAUACUGGGCGACUAGAGUGUGGUAGAGGGUAGCGGAAUUCCUGGUGUAGCAGUGAAAUGCGUAGAGAUCAGGAGGAACAUCCAUGGCGAAAGGCAGCUACCUGGACCAACACUGACACUGAGGCACGAAAGCGUGGGGAGCAAACAGGAUUAGAUACCCUGGUAGUCCACGCCCUAAACGAUGCGAACUGGAUGUUGGGUGCAAUUUGGCACGCAGUAUCGAAGCUAACGCGUUAAGUUCGCCGCCUGGGAGUACGGUCGCAAGACUGAAACUC